AGUGAACGCUGGCGGUAGGCCUAACACAUGCAAGUCGAACGGCAGCACAGUAAGAGCUUGCUCUUACGGGUGGCGAGUGGCGGACGGGUGAGGAAUACAUCGGAAUCUACUUUUUCGUGGGGGAUAACGUAGGGAAACUUACGCUAAUACCGCAUACGACCUACGGGUGAAAGCAGGGGAUCUUCGGACCUUGCGCGAUUGAAUGAGCCGAUGUCGGAUUAGCUAGUUGGCGGGGUAAAGGCCCACCAAGGCGACGAUCCGUAGCUGGUCUGAGAGGAUGAUCAGCCAGACUGGAACUGAGACACGGUCCAGACUCCUACGGGAGGCAGCAGUGGGGAAUAUUGGACAAUGGGCGCAAGCCUGAUCCAGCCAGACCGCGUGGGUGAAGAAGGCCUUCGGGUUGUAAAGCCCUUUUGUUGGGAAAGAAAAGCAGCAGGUUAAUACCCCGCUGUUCUGACGGUACCCAAAGAAUAAGCACCGGCUAACUUCGUG
rnacentral:rRNA from 1 species